AUUUUUCUCUCUAUAUUUCUCAAACUAUAGGAGCCGUAAUAUACCCUCGUGCCCUCUCUCUCUCUAAACCAGAAAUAUAGGGGAGGCCCUACCAAACUGACAUAUCCCUCUCUCUGCGCCUCUCAUACGAGAACAGAAGUGAAAGCCCUAUCUUAAUCGCAGUCACAGAGGGUUAUUUCCAAGGUCCGUCGUAAGAUUCAGUCUCAUAAGAACGUGGGACAUGAGCAUUGAUGGUUGAAAAGAUGCUCAACAGAAGAUGCGGAAAAUUUUUGCCAAAGAUUCAAGAGUCUUUUUUUGUUACACGCUCCUUGCUAUAGUUCAAGAGCUAUUUUUUUUUACAUGCUCCAUAGUUGUGAUAAAUGUGGUGAUUGUGUUGUAUAAAAAUGGGGCAGUAAAAAGUCAUUUUUUUGGUAAAAUUGAGUUUUGUAAUGGAUAUGUGUGGUGAAUAUGGUGAUUGUGUUGUAUGGAAAAGGGUACAGCAAAGAAUCAUUUUUUUGGCAAAAUCCAGUAUUGUAAUGGACAUGUGUGGUGACUGUGGUGAUUGUGUUGUAUGAAAAUGGGGCAGUAAA